rnacentral:rRNA from 1 species
CCUACGGGUGGCAGCAGGGAGGAAGAUUGGGCAAUGGGCGCGAGCCUGAACCAGCCAAGUAGCGUGAAGGAUGACUGCCCUACGGGUUGUAAACUUCUUUUAUAAAGGAAUAAAGUGAGGCACGUGUGCCUUUUUGUAUGUACUUUAUGAAUAAGGAUCGGCUAACUCCGUGCCAGCAGCCGCGGUAAUACGGAGGGUCCGAGCGUUAUCCGGAUUUAUUGGGUUUAAAGGGAGCGUAGGUGGGUUGUUAAGUCAGAUGGUAAAGUUUGGGGCUCAACCGUAAAAUUGCAAUUGAUACUGGCAGUCUUGAGUACAGUUGAGGUAGGCGGAAUUCGUGGUGUAGCGGUGAAAUGCUUAGAUAUCACGAAGAACUCCGAUUGCGAAGGCAGCUUACUAAACUGCAACUGACAUUGAUGCUCGAAAGUGUGGGUAUCAAACAGGAUUAGAUACCCGAGUAGUC